AGUGCACAUGAUGGAUGCCUUGGCGAUUACAGGCGACGAAAGACGUUAUAACCUGCGAUAAGCCCCGGGGAGCUGGUAAAUAAGCUUUGAUCCGGGGAUUUCUGAAUGGGGAAACCCACCACUUUUGUGGUAUCCAUACCUGAAUACAUAGGGUAUGAGAAGCGAACCUUGUGAACUGAAACAUCUAAGUAGCAAGAGGAAAAGACAUCAACCGAGAUUCCCAGAGUAGUGGCGAGCGAAAUGGGAACAGCCUUCUAGUGAUAUCUCAGUAAUUAACAGAAUGGAAUGGAAAGUCCAACAAUAAAGGGUGAUAGUCCCGUAUGUGAAAAUUAUUGAGUGGUACUAGGCUAGAGACAAGUAGGGCGGGACACGUGAAAUCCUGUCUGAAUAUGGGGGGACCAUCCUCCAAGGCUAAAUACUCGUAAUCGACCGAUAGUGAACAAGUACCGUGAGGGAAAGGCGAAAAGAACCCCGGGAGGGGAGUGAAAUAGAUCCUGAAAUUGUGUGCAUACAAACAGUAGGAGCCUCGUAAGGGGUGACUGCGUACCUUUUGUAUAAUGGGUCAGCGACUUACAUGUAGUAGCAAGCUUAACCGAAUAGGGGAGGCGCAGGGAAACCGAGUCCGAAUAGGGCGUUUUAGUUGCUAGGUGUAGACCCGAAACCGAGUGAUCUAUCCAUGGCCAGGUUGAAGGUGCGGUAACACGCACUGGAGGACCGAACCCACUAAUGUUGCAAAAUUAGGGGAUGAGCUGUGGAUAGGGGUGAAAGGCUAAUCAAACUCGGAGAUAGCUGGUUCUCCCCGAAAACUAUUUAGGUAGUGCCUCAAGAUACACUGACGGGGGUAAAGCACUGUUAUGGCUAGGGGAUCAUUGCGAUUUACCAAACCAUGGCAAACUCAGAAUACCGUCAAGUGGUUUCUUGGGAGACAGACAUCGGGUGCUAACGUCCGGUGUCAAGAGGGAAACAACCCAGACCGCCAGCUAAGGUCCCGAAUAAUCAACUCAGUGGUAAACGAAGUGGGAAGGCACAGACAGCCAGGAUGUUGGCUUAGAAGCAGCCAUCAUUUAAAGAAAGCGUAAUAGCUCACUGGUCAAGUCGUCCUGCGCGGAAGAUGUAACGGGGCUUAAGUUGAUAACCGAAGCUGCGGAUGGAUGCAGCAAUGUGUCCAUGGUAGGGGAGCGUUCCGUAGGUCCGUGAAGGUGUGCCGUAAGGCAUGCUGGAGAUAUCGGAAGUGCGAAUGCUGACAUGAGUAACGUUAAAGCGGGUGAAAAGCCCGCUCGCCGUAAGCCCAAGGCUUCCUACGCAACGUUCAUCGGCGUAGGGUUAGUCGGUCCCUAAGGCAAGGCUGAAAAGCGUAGUCGAUGGGAAACAGGUUAAUAUUCCUGUACUGAAUACAAGUGCGAUGUGGGGACGAAGAAAGUUAGGUCAGCGACCUGUUGGAUGGUCGUUUAAGCUGGUAGGUGGACUGCAUUGGCAAAUCCGUGCAGUUGCUAACACCGAGACGUGAUGACGAGGAUCUACGGAUCUGAAGUGACUGAUACUCUGCUUCCAGGAAAAGCCACUAAGCUUCAGCUUGUAUGCAACCGUACCGCAAACCAACACUGGUGGGCAGGAUGAAAAUUCUAAGGCGCUUGAGAGAACUCAGGAGAAGGAACUCGGCAAAUUGAUACCGUAACUUCGGGAGAAGGUAUGCCUCAUUAGUGUGUAAGAGCUCGCCUCUGAAGCACGAAGAGGCCGCAGAGAAUCGGUGGCUGCGACUGUUUAAUAAAAACAUAGCACUGUGCUAACACGUAAGUGGACGUAUACGGUGUGACGCCUGCCCGGUGCUGGAAGGUUAAAUGAAGGGGUGCAAGCUCCGGAUUGAAGCCCCAGUAAACGGCGGCCGUAACUAUAACGGUCCUAAGGUAGCGAAAUUCCUUGUCGGGUAAGUUCCGACCCGCACGAAUGGCGUAACGAUGGCCAUACUGUCUCCUCCUGAGACUCAGUGAAGUUGAAAUGGUUGUGAAGAUGCAAUCUCCCCGCUGCUAGACGGAAAGACCCCGUGAACCUUUACUGUAGCUUUGCAUUGGAAUUUGAACAGGCUUGUGUAGGAUAGGUGGGAGGCUAAGAAGCUGAAACGCCAGUUUCAGUGGAGCCAACCUUGAAAUACCACCCUGGUAUGUUUGGAUUUCUAACCUUGAUCCGUGAUCCGGAUUGGAGACAGUGCAUGGUGGGCAGUUUGACUGGGGCGGUCUCCUCCCAAAUUGUAACGGAGGAGUUCGAAGGUUACCUAGAUACGGUCGGAAAUCGUAUUGAUUGUGCAAUGGCAAAAGGUAGCUUAACUGCGAGACUGACAAGUCGAGCAGGUGCGAAAGCAGGACAUAGUGAUCCGGUGGUUCUGUAUGGAAGGGCCAUCGCUCAACGGAUAAAAGGUACUCCGGGGAUAACAGGCUAAUUCCGCCCAAGAGUUCAUAUCGACGGCGGCGUUUGGCACCUCGAUGUCGGCUCAUCACAUCCUGGGGCUGUAGUAGGUCCCAAGGGUAUGGCUGUUCGCCAUUUAAAGUGGUACGUGAGCUGGGUUUAAAACGUCGUGAGACAGUUUGGUCCCUAUCUGCAGUGGGCAUUGGAAGUUUGACGGGGGCUGCUCCUAGUACGAGAGGACCGGAGUGGACGUACCGCUGGUGUACCGGUUGUAACGCCAGUUGCAUAGCCGGGUAGCUAAGUACGGAAAAGAUAACCGCUGAAAGCAUCUAAGCGGGAAACUUGCCUGAAGAUAAGACUUCCCUGGGGACGCGAUCCCCCUGAAGAGCCGUGGUAGACCACCACGUUGA
rnacentral:rRNA from 1 species